GAAGUAAAAGUCGUAACAAGGUCUCCGUUGGUGAACCAGCGGAGGGAUCAUUACUGAGUUUACGCUCUACAACCCUUUGUGAACAUACCUAUAACUGUUGCUUCGGCGGGUAGGGUCUCCGCGACCCUCCCGGCCUCCCGCCUCCGGGCGGGUCGGCGCCCGCCGGAGGAUAACCAAACUCUGAUUUAACGACGUUUCUUCUGAGUGGUACAAGCAAAUAAUCAAAACUUUUAACAACGGAUCUCUUGGUUCUGGCAUCGAUGAAGAACGCAGCGAAAUGCGAUAAGUAAUGUGAAUUGCAGAAUUCAGUGAAUCAUCGAAUCUUUGAACGCACAUUGCGCCCGCCAGCAUUCUGGCGGGCAUGCCUGUUCGAGCGUCAUUUCAACCCUCAAGCUCUGCUUGGUGUUGGGGCCCUACAGCCGAUGUAGGCCCUCAAAGGUAGUGGCGGACCCUCCCGGAGCCUCCUUUGCGUAGUAACUUUACGUCUCGCACUGGGAUCCGGAGGGACUCUUGCCGUAAAACCCCCCAAUUUUCCAAAGGUUGACCUCGGAUCAGGUAGGAAUACCCGCUGAACUUAAGCAUA
rnacentral:rRNA from 1 species